rnacentral:rRNA from 1 species
CUACGGGGGGCUGCAGUGAGGAAUUUUGCGCAAUGGGGGCAACCCUGACGCAGCAACGCCGCGUGAGUGAAGAAGGCCUUUGGGUCGUAAAGCUCUGUCAACUGGGAAGAAGUUAUGUGCAUUUAAUAGAUGUACGUAUUGACGGUACCAGUGGAGGAAGCGUCGGCUAACUCCGUGCCAGCAGCCGCGGUAACACGGGGGACGCAAGCGUGAUUCGGAAUUAUUGGGCGUAAAGGGCGCGUAGGCGGUCUUGUCGGUCAGAUGUGAAAGCCCGGGGCUCAACCCCGGACGUGCAUUUGAAACAGCAAGACUUGAGUACGGGAGAGGAAAGCGGAAUUCCUGGUGUAGAGGUGAAAUUCGUAGAUAUCAGGAGGAACACCGAUGGCGAAGGCAGCUUUCUGGACCGAUACUGACGCUGAGGCGCGAAGGCGUGGGUAGCGAACGGGAUUAGAUACCCGGGUAGUC